UGAGUGUGUUCUGUUUAGAAGGUCAAUGUGAUUGUUCUGUUUAGAAGGUCAAUGUGAUUGAGUGUGUUCUGUUUAGAAGGUAAAUGUGAUUGAGUGUGUUCUGUUUAGAAGGUCAAUGUGAUUGAGUGUGUUCUGUUUAGAAGGUAAAUGUGAUUGAGUGUGUUCUGUUUAGAAGGUAAAUGUGAUUGAG